UAUGCUCAUGCCGGGAAAGAUUAUGAAGAGGACAACAAAGAUGAUAAUGCAAAACAAAGACCACGAAGGCAAAAAAUGGAUGACAAGUAUUACUAUGGUUCAAUCACAAAGGAUGGUCGCAAAAAAGAACAAAUUGUCCUUGUCGAAAGUGACAAGCCACAAGCAGAAAUCAAGAAACUUGAUGACAAGAUUCCUCCCCUAGGAAAAAAGGCAGACAUUGUCCUUGCCUUGCUACCUGACGAAUGCUAAGAAACAAUCAGAAAAUUUUGGGAACUCGAGGAGGGAUGUACGCACAUAUGGGAUUGUGAAUUAGAUGACCUGCGCAUAUAUCAAGAAGAUGUGAGGUUUCAGCUAUGUGAUCGAGAAUUAACAGGCCAGCCAAUAGAUGCCUACGUCCACUUGCUGACUACAACACUACAACCACCAACAUCUGGACCAUCCUUUUCAUUGGGAAUAGAAGAUUCCCA